rnacentral:tRNA from 1 species
GGUGUAGCUCAGUAGUAAAGCACUUGCCUUAGGUGCAAGAGAAAAAGUCCUGGGUUCAAUUUCCAGAACUCCA